ensembl:lncRNA
GUACACUAUGUUACUCUGUUUGUGUCGGGGACCCGAUCCUUGGGCUGGACCAGUUUUUGCCGCAGCGUGUUUUGGGGUUUAAAAGCCACAGAGACCUGAUGUUUAGAAAAAAUGCGUCUCAGCUGCUCCGAUACUCCUGACACGUACGGGAUCACUACAGGUUUUCACUUAGGCAGCGGUUGUUCUUCUCUCCUGGAUCGGCUGGAGCUUUCUUUAGGAGCCUUCCCAGCUUUGUGGGGAUAACCACAUUUACUCAGGGCCUUCUUGAUGUUCUUCUGCUUCCCUGGCUGCUGUGUCAGUGGGGAUGGUGUUCGCUCUGUGUUGUAGCGUCCUGAUGACGCCCAGUUUGUGCUCCAGUGGAUGAUGAGAGUCAAACCUUAAAUACUGAUCCAUAUGUGUAGGUUUACGGUACACGUCAGCUUUUAGAUGUCCCCCAUUACUGAUGGAAAUCUCACAGGAGAAAGUGUGGAGAAAGAAAAAAAUAAAAAAUAAAACAAAAGAAUGUUGUUUGGAAUGUAGAUGAAGUAUUUUAAAUAUUCAAAAAUAUUUCAAAUAUAGACAAAGUGCUCUUCAGUUUUAGUCUAUGUAAGGUUGAUCUCACAUAGGAUGAAUUGAUGGCGUCUUUGCAAGAAAGUAAAGAGGGAAAUCUUGCCCGUGAAUACCAGUAAUAUAUUAUUAGAAAAAAAUAAUAUUCAGGAUAAUAAAAUCUAAAAUAAAAGCAAAUAUUUUUAAAUAAUAAAAACAGAAAUAAGGAAGGCCCACUGACACUAAACUACACUGGAAAGAAAAAAGUAAAUUAAUGAAAAAUAGAAGUUCUAGUCUCCUCUGCAGGCCUUUAUCUCCCAGCCAUGCUGCUGGGUGACAUUGCUGUAUUGAGGAUGUCCUGGACAGAAAUGAUAACGCUUUCCUCUCCUCUGAGGUCAUUUCCUCUACUUACAAUGCAUUUGGACCAGCUGGUGAACUAGUUUGUGGAUUAGCAGCGGAGGUCAGCGUGCAAAGCAUCACUGUUGGAGAGAUAGACAUCAUGCCAUAAAGUCACUCCUGUCUAACAGCAAAUAGCUGAUAUGUUUUUAGUUUUGUGGAAAAUACAAUUUUGUAAAUAAUUUUAAGUUUUCAUACUGUUUUCUGCAGUGUUGGGAAAUAAUGAUAAUAAUAAUAAUGGAUUGCAUUUAUAGCGUUUUUCGAGACCCUCAAAGCGCUUCACAAUUCCACUAUUCAUUCACUCUUACAUUCAUACACUGGUGGAGGCAGCUACAGUUGUAGCCACAGCUGCCCUGGGGCAGACUGACAGAAGCGAGGCUGCCAUAUCGCGCCAUCGGCCCCUCUGGCCAACACCAGUAGGCAAGUAGGGUAAAGUGUCUUGCCCAAGGACACAAC